ensembl:rRNA 5S_rRNA 5S ribosomal RNA
GUCUAUGGCCAUAGCACCGUAAAUGUGUCUGAUCUUGGAAGGUAAGCAGGGCUGUGCCUGGUUAGUGCGUGGAUGGGCGACUGCCUGGGAAUACCAGGUACUAUAUAGG